UAACAGUUGAUGUUGAAGAGGCUUUUAUCCCAUGCUCGAUAGCUUUGCUUCGUGUUCACUUGAAAACAAUGUGGAUUCAUACCUACACUCCAGUUUUAUUAUAUACUGCAAUCUCAAUGCUCCUGUCCACAUUGAUUUGUUUUGCUAUGAAACGUUACUGGGACUUUACAGCAGUGGCCUCAAGUGUAAAUGAACAUCCUCCAGAUUUGAACUCUUCCAGUGAAAACAUUCAGGCGGGUGAGGCUUUGUCUGACGAAGCAUCAUGACCUCAAAGGUGCAACAGAAUCUCUGGAACUGAAUGAGACAAAGCCCAUGGACUAAUUGCAUCAUCGCCAGUCUGAUCGGAACCAUUAUGAAGAAAUUAAUUGAGAGCUUCUUUUUGGAAUAUUUCUACCCUUUGCCGAGUCACAUAGAUAUUUAGCACAGAAUCAUCUUGUCCAUCGAAGGUGACCUACAUUAGUGGUUCUGCUCCACAUAAACCAUUUCCCACUCUACUCCAUUAAACCGAUCAUCACAUUUCUACUAUUCCAUUGUUCCUCAUAUGCCUAAUCAGUUUUCCCUUACAUUAUUUCAUAAUUCACCUCAAAUGCUGGAUAUAGGAUCAACUCCCAUGUUCUUACCAUUCCCUGAAGGGAUCGCUCAAAGGUGAGAAGGACAACAUUUAAAGUAUAUGUGUUGGGCAGUACUUGGUGAGUACUUGGAACGUGCUGCUGGGGUAGUGAUGGCCGCAGAUACAAUAGUGUCUUUUAAGAGGCUGCAAGGUAGGUACACAGGUAUGCAGGGAAUAUGAAUGUAAAAUGGACAGAAGAGAUUAGUUUAAAUUUAGCAUCAUGUUUGCCAUUGUGGGCCGAUGGGCGUUGUUGUGCUGUACUGUUCUAUGUUCUAAUAAGAAUUAUUAUCUUCCCUAUAUUUAUUCUGUUAAACCCCUUCAUAAUCGUGGGAACCUCCAUCAGGAAAUCUUUAGCCUUAAGGGUCCAGUUCUGCAUUUCAUGAUACAUUCCAGAUCUUCAGUUCUAGUAUCCUUGUAAAUCAUUUUAUAGAGAGGAAGACCAGAGCUAAGAUGAAUAUUCCAACUCUGGUCUCGCUAAAGUUCUAUGCAUUCUUAACACUAUUUCACUAUUUUGUUCUAUUCAUGAAAAAUUUCCCCAGGGCAUUGUUUAUAAGUUUACAGAUUUGUCAUCUGGUAUUUGAAUGUUUUACGAUGGUUUUCCUCUGUCACUUUGUUUUACUUUACCUUCCACACGUUUUAAUGAGGGUAGGCAGUCAAUGGAUGUAAUCAUAUGGCUAGAAAUCACUGACAUAAAGGCAUAUUCUGUAUGAUAUGAGCCAAUGUAAAUAUUGAUUAAUUUCACACACUUUCAAUUGAGCUACAGUAAGUUAUUCGGUUAAGUGAAAAAAAAG